GCGUCGAGCGGCGGACGGGUGAGUAAUGCCUGGGAAAUUGCCCUAACGUGGGGGAUAACCAUUGGAAACGAUGGCUAAUACCGCAUGAUGUCUACGGACCAAAGAGGGGGACCUUCGGGCCUCUCGCGUUAGGAUAUGCCCAGGUGGGAUUAGCUAGUUGGUGAGGUAAUGGCUCACCAAGGCGACGAUCCCUAGCUGGUCUGAGAGGAUGAUCAGCCACACUGGAACUGAGACACGGUCCAGACUCCUACGGGAGGCAGCAGUGGGGAAUAUUGCACAAUGGGCGCAAGCCUGAUGCAGCCAUGCCGCGUGUAUGAAGAAGGCCUUCGGGUUGUAAAGUACUUUCAGCAGUGAGGAAGGCAGUANUGUUAAUAGCAUUAUUGUUUGACGUUAGCUGCAGAAGAAGCACCGGCUAACUCCGUGCCAGCAGCCGCGGUAAUACGGAGGGUGCGAGCGUUAAUCGGAAUUACUGGGCGUAAAGCGCAUGCAGGUGGUCUGUUAAGUCAGAUGUGAAAGCCCCGGGCUCAACCUGGGAAUAGCAUUUGAAACUGGCAGGCUAGAGUACUGUAGAGGGGGGUAGAAUUUCAGGUGUAGCGGUGAAAUGCGUAGAGAUCUGAAGGAAUACCAGUGGCGAAGGCGGCCCCCUGGACAGAUACUGACACUCAGAUGCGAAAGCGUGGGGAGCAAACAGGAUUAGAUACCCU
rnacentral:rRNA from 1 species